UUUCAUGUGUGCUACACAUUCCAAAAAAGUUGGGGCAGGUAGCAAUAAGAGGCCGUCUUAGUCACUGAUCAAUUAUUAAUUGUGCCUCCUAUCUACCCUUACCCUUUUUUACCUUUUAAUUCUCUGUAAGAACAGUGGAAGAACGUAAAGCUGUACCAGUCUGCAUUUUAUAAAAAUUAUAUAAAUUACACACACAAACACACACAGCAGCCUCUGAAAUCUGCUGUUUCUCAAGCUGAGAUUCAUAUCAACCCCAAUUAAUGAGAUUUAAUUUCAUUCUGUUUAUUGAGGUAAGAAAAUCUGAUCAGUUUGUGUUGAUUCGUUUUUACAGCAGUGUUUAAACCAGUAACUUUAUAAAUCAAUUCUCUCGUUGUGUGUGUAGGUGGUGUUUGAUAUGAGUCUGGCACGUGGCUUGGAUUACUACACUGGUGUAAUCUAUAAGGCUGUGCUGUGUCAGACUCUGCAGCCAGAGGUGGCGGUGGCCGCGGACAUGGUGGGGGUGAAGAAACACAGAAACGCAGGUUUUGGUGGCUUCGGAACAGAAGAACCUUCUGAAGUAGAGACUCUGAUUAACUCAUGAAUUGUGGGAUGCAAGAAUUAAGGACUCGCAGUGAAUUAUGGGUAAGAAGAAAGACCGGGAAAGUUACGGAACAAGAUGGCUAUGUCUCUGGAAUAGACAGCUAUGUGCAUAAAAUCCUGGUGAGGAAGAAACACGUGUGUGGACAUGAGCACGUGCAGGAGAAGUGAGUGGACUGGACCUGGCAGAAAAGCUGCUGAAGGACCCAAAGCUGUCUCAGAACAAGCAGGCGUGUGCCGACCUGAACAACAUGAAACUCCUGUUUAAUUACCUGCUGUUCUUCCAAAUCACAGAUAAGGCUGAGGUGCUUUAUAAAAAAAAAAAAAAAAAAAAAAACUGCUGACUCAGCUUCAGCACUGUGAGGAGAAAGGCAUCCCCUGGUGGCCAUUUUGGUGAUCACGAAUAACAAAAUGGAAUAUUUAAACUCAGCAAUGUGGCCACCAGAGAUGAGGUCAAGGUGUCCAGGGAAAAAGUGGUCGAGGAGAUAAAGAGGCGGACACUAAAUGUUUAAAUUGUUCAUUAUAAUUCUUUUUGUUAGUUCUGUUCAAUAAAAAUGUUCUAAUACAAUAAAAAUGUUCUAAUGUUCUA